rnacentral:lncRNA from 1 species
CCUUCCGCCAGGGGAAACCCCUCCCCUGACAGGCCCUUUGACGGCCCCAGGGCGGGGAGAACGACGGAGAAAAGAAGGAGAAAUCCCCGCAUUCCCCGCAGUUCCCGCUGAGAGCAAGUGCGGGGCCAGCCCGAUCUUUCUGCGUCCUCUCGGGGGAUUCUUUUAUCGUAGGCUUGAGGCUGCUGAAAACUUUUUGGGAAGCUUUUUGGCCUCAUCCUGCAAACACUUCUGCAUGAGUCUCAAGCCACACGCUCCAGCCUUUCUAUUCAAGGAAGAGAGAAGGAAACCCUGACUCUUUUCUCUGCUCUUUGCUUCAUUUCCCAAGGCAAGUAGGGGAGGAAGUGGUGGAAACAGAAGGUGUGGGUUGUGCCACCCGAGUGCCCCUGUGCCCAGAGCCAGAGUGGGCAGCAAGGUGAGGAGCAGCCAGGUUUAAUUCCAGAAGGAAAAAUUGCAGCUCCUGAGUGUCACUGUCCCUGCCAGGAGGAGCAGGGUGGGCAGCAGGGUGAGGAGCAGCCAGGUUCAGUUCCAGAA